rnacentral:rRNA from 1 species
GACGAACGCUGGCGGCGUGCUUAACACAUGCAAGUCGAACGAAGUGGCGAACGGGUGAGUAACGCGUAAUCAACCUGCUCUUCAGAGGGGGACAAUAGUUGGAAACGACUGCUAAUACCGCAUACUGAAGGAGGGGCUUGCGUCUGAUUAGCUAGUUGGAGGGGUAACGGCCCACCAAGGCGAUGAUCAGUAGCCGGUCUGAGCGGGUGAACGGCCACAGUGGUACUGAGACACGGCCCAGACUCCUACGGGAGGCAGCAGUGGGGAAUCUUCCGCAAUGGACGAAAGUCUGACGGAGCAACGCCGCGUGAGGGAUGACGGCCUUCGGGUUGUAAAGCUCUGUUAAUCAGGACGCGGUACCGGAAUAGAAAGCCACGGCUAACUACGUGCCAGCAGCCGCGGUAAUUC